rnacentral:tRNA from 1 species
AGUCCCAGUGUUUGUUGUGUUCGGAGUUCUUUCGUCUCACCAUGGUGCUAGUG